rnacentral:rRNA from 1 species
UACGGAGGGUGCAAGCGUUAAUCGGAAUUACUGGGCGUAAAGCGCACGCAGGUGGCUGAGUCAGUCGGUUGUGAAAGCCCUGGGCUUAACCUGGGAAUUGCAGUCGAUACUACUCAGCUAGAGUAUGGGAGAGGGCAGUGGAAUUCCCGGUGUAGCGGUGAAAUGCGUAGAUAUCGGGAGGAACAUCAGUGGCGAAGGCGGCUGCCUGGCCCAAUACUGACACUCAGGUGCGAAAGCGUGGGGAGCAAACAGG